rnacentral:rRNA from 1 species
AGAUAUUAUCCGCCAGGGACUACAAGCGCUACGUUAAAACCCAAAGGACUUGGCGACGCCUUAGAUCCCCCUAGAGGAGCCCGUUCUAUAACCGAUGAUCCUCGUUAAACCUCACCACUCCUUGUAAAAUCCAGCCUAUAUACCGCCGUCGUCAGCUUACCUUGUGAAGGGACAGUAGUAAGCUCAAUGGGUAUGGCCCAGAACGUCAGGUCGAGGUGUAGCUAAUGGGGUGGGAAGAAAUGGGCUACGUUUUCUGGUUCAGAAUAUUACGGAUAAUGCUUUGAAACAAGCAUUGUGAAGGUGGAUUUAGCAGUAAAGAGAGAA